UUGAGAUAAAGUUUAGAUUUUUUUUCUUGUUCUAAAGUUGGUUUUGGUUUUCGAGUUGCAGGGAGGAAUCGAUCAAAGUUCUAACAACAACAAUUCUGGGUCGAAAUUUGCUUCUGAUUCUAAAAGUGGGUCUUGAAAGAAAAUCGAAUGUCAAUGCUGUAGGAUACCAUUACCCUUUUGUUAAACUUCAGUUGGGUUGUUGUUUUGCCAUGUGGUUCCCGUAAACCUACCAAGCCUUACAAGUUGGAGCUUGCAAUAUAUUCUAGUAUGGAGGAUGUGAGGAGGAUUCCCUCGAGGAGGGUUCGGAUCGACGGCAGGCUUAGCCGUACACU